rnacentral:SRP_RNA from 1 species
GCCAGGUAUGGUGGUGCAUGCCUAUAGUCCCAGCUACUUGGGAGGCUGAGAUGGGAGGAUUGCUUGAGCCCAGGAGGUUGGGGGUGCAGUGAGCCGUGAUCGCGUCACUGCACUCUAGCCUGGGUGACAGAGUGAGAACUUGUCUCAA